ACAUUCAUGGUUUAUUUUUAAACACGCGGUAAAGGAGGGCAAGAAAAGGGGCUGAGCUGGACCCAAGGAAAGAAACAAAUAUCCCAAAACACCCCUAAGCUAGUCUAGCCUACUUCAAUACAGCUAACUAACUAACCAAAAAUACAGCGGGCGGUCCACCCAGUUCUAACUAGUGUUCUUAGACAAAGUAUUCCUAUGGGUAGUGUAUGCCCAUGGGCGACUUGUCUUGGUACCCCCUUUUCCCACCAUCAACAAACAGUCAAACACCAUAACAAAACAAUACUCACAGGGUAACAGACAAAGUGUCAUGUAGUUGCAAACCACAAGAGAUCUAGAGAGAGAUUGCAUGACAUAGAGAUCGAACUCCAGAGAAAACAACUGACAGGGUUUUAAACCAAGGGAAAGGGAAUGUGAUAGGGUAAGAGAAAAGGAGCAGGUGUCUUCUGAUUAGCGACUGAUUGGUGACUGAUUGGGGAAUGAUGAUUGCCACCUGUGAGGGGAGAAGGAGAGAAAAGAAAUACAGACACAGGAUACACACACACAGGAUACCUGUAUCCAUAACACAGUAAUUUAAAUUGAUCAGAAGUCCAUCAUUACAGAAGCUGAUAGGCUUAGAUAUAGAGGCCCCUCCCUCUGGUCCUCCCUGUCUGUCUCCUUAUAGGUGGGUCCUGCAGCCUCUCCUCUCCUCACACUCCAACCCUGCUCAUCUCUCAGCUGGACAGUAAGGGCCGUUCACACCACACACUGACAACAUGCUGGGGACACUCUGCACUCUCAUCACUGCUCUAACAUACUCUACCCUCCCUCCGCCUGUCUUGACCAUCUUCCCUCCGUCCAGCGAUGAGUUGAAGUCCAGCAAAGUCACCCUGGUGUGUCUGGCCAGUCAGAUGGCCAUGGGCUACGCCGAUGUCAGCUGGACAGCGGGAGGGAAUCCGGUCACCGGCGGCAUCGCUACGAGUGGCCCGGUGCCGCAAGCCGACAAGACGUUCCAACUCAGCAGCUGUCUGACCGUUGACACGUCAGAAUGGAACCAGGACAAAGUGUUCUCAUGUAAAGUCACCGCGGGCUCCAAGUUCGCUGAGAAAGACAUCAAGAAGUCUGUAUGCAGCACUGAAUAGCCUGAGAACCAUUGUAAUGUCCAGUUGAUUUUCUACAUCACUUUUCAAGAUAUUGUUAAUGCAUUAGAAGUUUAACCUGCAUAUAUACAUUAUGUUCCAUAAAAGAUAAAUAGCUAAUCACACUGAUAUCAUAUGCUACAUGAUAAGUAGGCUGUAUAUUUGAAAUGGGUUGCUUUGCAGAUGUAUAAUAGAGGAAUAGUUAGAGCUUUGCUGUAUUGUGGAUAUUAAAUAAAGAACAUUCUAAAGAACAAG